AACAUCGCGAGAGUUCCGGAAAGAUUGUCGGGAAGACUUGCACGCAGGCGCGGUUUUGCAUUCUUUUCGCUGUCGGCCGCGUGGCUGAAAGUCAUGGCUGGUUCCGUUGGUGUUGAGCAUGGCCAACAGCCUCAGGCAUUUGUCAUGAAGCCUUUCUUUGGCAUCUGCAGAUACGGUGAAAAGCAGAGUUCCAGGUUGAAGGUUCACAGUAAUGGAUGGAGCUCUAACAUGAGUUAGAAUGGUGCAGGCCGGGCCCGAGUGGUCGCCAGAAAUGAGAAAGCAGAGUUGGUCCCAUCACAUACAUUCAUCUCCUGCUUUAUUCUGAAGUUCGAAUGUGAGAAUACGUGUUGACGUACAAGCCAGCUAUGAUUAAAGGUGUUGGCUGUGGUCUUGAAAACAGUCAUUCGAAAACUCAUCACCUAAAGAUGUUGAGUGUAAGGAUCUUCAUGAUGAAAUUUCUGUAAAUGGUAGCUCUGGAGUGGAUCUCUAAUCCCCUGUCUUAAGACACUGAGCCAUGUGCUUGCUGCUUGCUGUGCAGGGCAGUUUUACAUACACAGUUGGAUGAAAUGGAUAUGGCCUGUGUGACGUCGCUUCUUGGCAGCAGGUGUAGUCAGCCUCAGUUUCCAAGUCUGGAAAAGGAUCCUCUAGUAGCCACAUUGUGGACGCUGCCCUGAACCAGGACCUGACCUGGACCCAAAGUACCACGUCUUUAAUGCAUGUUAGCUCCCAGCGAUGCCAGAUGGGAUCAGCACAGCCCUGCCUCUGUGGCUAAUUGUUCCUCUAAAGUAAUUGCCAUGCGUUCUUUGGGCUUCAUCUUUAAAGGAAUGAAGUGACUAAGAUUAUUCUGGAAAACCUUUUGGCAGUUAGUGAAAUUAGAGUACAACUAAGUACAUUUUCAGACCCCCACUAUGGAUGACCUGGGUAUACUCUCACAAAUCGAUGGGACAACCUGUAAUCCCAGCACUUUGGGAGGCCGAGGCGGGUGGAUCACGAGGUAAGAGAUCUGGUCAACAAGGUGAAACCCCGUCUCUACUAAAAAUAUAAAAAAUUAGCUGGGCAUAGUGGUGCAUGCCUGUAAUCCCAGCUACUCAGGAGGCUGAGGCAGGAGAAUUGCCUGAACCCAGGAGGCAGAGGUUGCGGUGAGCCGAGAUCGCGCCAUUGCACUCCAACCUGGGUAACAAGAGUGAAACUCCGUCUUAAAAAAAAAAAACUGAAGUUAACAUGAUUCUACUCUGUCAGAGGACCUAAGGGGAAACUGAUGAGUUUCAGAGAGUAAUGCUUAACCCCAGUAUACAGGAUGCCAGCUUGUGUUUUCUCUUUUUAGUUAUCCACUAAAUUGAUUUUCUGAUCUGCUAAUGGGUUGCCACCCACUGCUUUAGCACUUUUACUUCAAAUCAAUAAAGGAUUGAUCAGAGUUCUCCUGGUGCCUCCACAGAGUGGCUUCCAGGAACAGAUAAUGGUUUGCAUAGAAUAUCAGUGGUUUUGUUUCAAAUAGUGGUCAGAAAAUAUCUAGUGUUGGCUUACUAAGAUAAUCAGGUUCCUUUUUCUUUUUAAUUAAAUUUUUUUUGAAUUUUUUGAGACUAUUUAUUUAUUGAGACAGUCUUUCUCUGUCACCCAGGCUGGGAGUGUAGUGAUAUGAUCUCUGCAACCUCUAUUUCCCAGGUUCAAGUGAUUCUUGUGCCUCAGCGUCCCGAGUAACUGGGACUAUAGGCGCACACCACCAUACCUGGUUAAUUUUUUGUUGUUUUAGUAGAGACAGGGUUUUACCAUGUUGCCCAGGCUGGUCUUGAACUCCUGAGCUCAGACAAUCUGCCCACCUCAGCCUCCACAAAUGCUAGGAUUACAGGUGUGAGCCACCACACCCAGCCAUUUUUCCUUUUUAAAAAUUUUAAAGUUGGGGGUCUUACUCCAUUACCUGGCUGGUCUCGAACUCCUGGACUCCAGCGAUCCUCUGGCUCCAAGCCCACUACCAGCCUCAAGCUUCUUUACUAAAAGAUCACUACAUAAGAUACUCGGAUGGACUGUGACCGUUAAGGGCUGCCUUAUGUAUCCCACAUUUGACCACAUUCCUUCCAAACCAAGUAAACCCAAAGGAAUAUGACGGCUAUCAUGGGGACCAAGGAGGAACUGUUUAAGAUUGCCAGGGUCAAGUGAGCUGAGAGGCUUAGUGCUGGGGCCAGCAGCUCUGAAAUGUCUCUUAAUUCCUGCUGUCCAGGCAGCAGAAUGCUAUGGUUUCUUCCAAGUAGGUGCUUUGGCAAUUAGAGCCCAAAUGUCUAUUCUGUUGAUCAGAGGUCUCUGGAUUUCUGAAGUGUGUUCUGUUUCUGGUGACUGAGUUAAUCCCCAUCCCUCUUGUAAAGUGUGUUGAUAGAAUCAGCCUUUCAACGCUACAGAGCCAGACUGUGCCCUAAAUUGACCGACAUGAUGGAUGUUGCCUUGGGAAGUCUCUUGCCAGCUGUCCCUGUGAAGACACUCCCGCUGCCUUGCACACUGAAGCAUCUCAAACUGCAAAGCCAUUUAGUCAUCAGGACGAACAGGACUAAACCCAGGGCUUGGUUAAGUGCUGUGUGGUAACUUGUUUGGAUGAGACUUCUUUAAAACCACUCACAAUAAAAUUAUGAAACUACUGUCA